rnacentral:rRNA from 1 species
GACAGAGGGUGCAAACGUUGUUCGGAAUUACUGGGCGUAAAGCGUGUGUAGGCGGUCCGCUAAGUCGGGUGUGAAAGCCCUGGGCUCAACCCAGGAAGUGCAGUCGAAACUGGCGGGCUAGAGUACUGGAGAGGUUGGUGGAAUUCUCGGUGUAGAGGUGAAAUUCGUAGAUAUCGAGAGGAACACCGGUGGCGAAGGCGGCCAACUGGACAGAUACUGACGCUGAGACACGAAAGCGUGGGGAGCAAACAGG